GGGAAAGUGGCUCAGUGGUAGAGUGCUUGCCUUGCAUGCAUGAGGCUCUGGCUUUGAUUUCCAGCACCA
rnacentral:tRNA from 1 species